rnacentral:rRNA from 1 species
GACAGAGGUGCCGAGCGUUAGGCGGAAUCACUGGGCUUAAAGCGUGUGUAGGCGGACCGUUAAGUACCUUGUGAAAUCCCCCGGCUCAACCGGGGAACGGCUGGGUAUACUGGCGGUCUUGAGCCAUCCAGGGGCAGUCGGAACAGACGGUGGAGCGGUGAAAUGCGUAGAUAUCGUCUGGAACGCCAAAGGUGAAAACAGCUCGCUGGGGUUGUGCUGACGCUGAGACACGAAAGCCAGGGGAGCGAACGGG